GAUUGAAGUCAGUCGUACCGGCGGGUAAUCAGCCUUUCGGGUAUGAUUUUGUGGAGCGUGAGGAGUUAAACGCCUUCGUGCCUGCAUAUUCGUGCUCUUGGGUGUACUUGCUCGUGUGGUUGGUUAACAUCAAUUUUGGUUAUCAUAAAAUGGCUGGAGGAAUGUAGCUUCGAUUUCGAUUGAAGUGUUAUAGCCUUCGGCAGAUGUGAUGAUCGGGAUUGAGGAUUGCAACGGAUACCUUUCGGGGCUACCUGUCUGAUCUCUGAUCGUUGCUCUGGUGCCGAAAGCGUGCUUACGGUUAUCAAAGUCGAU
rnacentral:rRNA from 1 species